rnacentral:lncRNA from 1 species
ACAGUGAAGUGCCGAACUAUGCCACAAUCUUGGCAUACCUUCAGGAACGGAUCACUCUUGUAUUCUCCUCCAUUGUCUGUUCGGAGAACCUUAAUCUUCCUUCCUAUUUGGUUUUCAACUUCAGCUUUCCACUUAAGGAAAAUUUCAAGCACAUCAUUUUUGUUCUUCAUAGUAAACACCCAAACUCUCCUAGAAAAAUCAUCCACAAAAGUGACAAAAUAAUGCCUACCUCCGAUUGACGGAGUCUUGGCAGGUCCCCACACAUUUGAAUGCACAUAAUCCAGAAUACCCUUGGUAUUGUGAAUUGCAGUGCCAAACUUCACUCUUCGUUGUUUUCCCAGAACACAAUGCUCACAAAAUUCAAGUUUGCAAGCCUUCGUACCUUUCAACAAUCCCUGCUUGGUAAGAAUUUGCAAGGAUUUCUCUCCAGCAUGUCCCAACCUCAUAUGCCACAACUUCGUUGCCUCAGCAUCCUUCUUAGAGCUAGAAGUUGCUGCCGCUACUGUCCCCACCACUGUACUACAAAUUGUUCUUCAUCACGCCUUUCAACAUCACCAGUGCUCCUGAAGUUGCUUUAAGAAUUCCAUCUCGCAUCGUCACGACUAGGCCUUUAGAUUCUAAAGCCCCCAAUGAGAUGAAAUUCUUCUUCAACUUUGGCACGUACCGUACAUCCCGCAAAAUUUUGGUGGAUCCGUCAUGAUUCCGCAGCUUGAUUGAACCUAUCCCAGCUUUCUUACAUGGAUUAUCAUUACCCAUGUAAACAACUCCAGCAUCGAGUUCUUGAAAUUCAAAGAACCAAUCCAGAAUGGGAUACAUAUGAUAAGUACAACCUGAAUCCAAUAUCCACUCAUCUGGAUACGAUGAUGCUGAAAGCGAGACAAUUAAAGAGAUAUCUGAUUCCACGUCACUUUUGCAUUCUGCAACAUUUGCAUCUUGCGAAACCUUCUCUUUCUUCUGCAGUUUUGGACAGUCUUUCUCCCAGUGUCCUUUCUCAUGACAAAAAGCACACUCAUCUUUGGCAACGGCUCGACCUUUAGAUUUAGACAUCCCUCUUCUCUCCUUUGUUUGGCUUUGCUGACGACCUCUU